UCACCACAGCCAUCGCUUCGCCUCCGUCUUCCGCUCUGGCGCCCUCCCAUCUCCUCCCAACCCUAGCGCGCGCGUUCAGAGUUCCACACCGCGCACACGCCGCCACCUGCAUUUCUCUCGUGUCGUCUGCGCUCCGCUCGCACCACCUAGCAAUCCCCGAUCCCCUGCGGCGCAUCCAAGGGAAACGCCCCGCGUCUCAUCCCUUUCCCCUCCCCGGCGACAGGCAGGGGAAUCGACGGCCACCGCCUCAGUCCGCUUCGUCUUUGGGUCUUCCCUGCCUACCGCCGACAACCACCAACGAGCAGCUUUUCAUGUUUUCCAUGAAAACAAUUACUUCCUGUAGCUGUAGCGUAACAGCCAAAUCACCGUUGCCCUUCAUUGAAAUAUGAAUAUUAGUCGAUGGUAACGCCCGUCUACAAAAGUUGAUUGCCUUGCAUUUUUCAUAGUCACACGCCGGAAUCAGCAGUCUCUUUUCCGUUGCAUUGGCGACCUGCAGCAAGGUGCCAUUUUUGUUCCACCCAUCCUCCUUCCUUGCUAUACACUUUCUUAUUUGUUUGUCUCCUUCACCUGUCCUUCCUGCAGAAUUGCCUCUUGCUUUCUCUAAACUUUCCUUCACAAUGUGCUGUACGCCUUUACAUGUGCAAUUUUCUUAACAUUUUCUCUCUUUUUUCUGUGUAUGUACAUUCUGAUUCGGCUACCUAUCGGGGUUGUGGGGGAGGUAAAGGUAAAUCCUGAUGCCCAAUUUUACUGCAGGUGAGAGAAUCAUACCAAUUAAAGCUCAUCACCAGACAAUUGGAUGGAAGGAAUAAACCGAAUCCGGUCUCUUCCUCUUCAAGCUUACAUUGGUGGAAAUAUUGAAGGGCUUCAUCUUACAUGAUCUCACUGGUGGCCAAAAUGGCUCUAUAUAUGCAGGUGGCCACAGGUUCUGCCUGCAACUAAAAGUCUGCGAAGAUAGAUUGAUAUAGUUGUGAUAUGGGCCUCGUUUCUAGUAGUGCAACAUGCACAUGGGCUCGUUUUUAUUGUGCCUGUAAUUAUGUAAGGCAAGUGAAAAAUUGAAUUCACAUAACAAUAAUGUUGGCAAAGAAGAGGUUCAUCUUGCUUCGCUACAGAUAUAAAAAAGGAGUGUGUUGUAGACCCAAUAAAACAAUAGUACAAUGCUAGCUGACAUGAAGGUUUUUCCCCAAGCAACUUUUUUUACAUGCCCUCGCUCCAUUUUGAAAUUAUCAGAAAACCGAUGUUUGAGUACUGGAUUGGAUGGCCUCGGGGACAUCAGUUUCUAUUUCAGAUACAGGCAUACAGCUACAGUUUUUGUGAUAGCUGAGUGCACACAAACCUCACCGAGUCGACACCGCACACUGACAUCAACCUGAGAAGAACAAACAAUCGUUGAUGCCACUGUGAUCUUAAGUGUGGGUUGUGGUGGUGACUCUACGCGAGCAUCAUCUCUGAAUCUCUGUACACACAAACAUUUGCUUGUGAAAUGCUUACCCUUGCACCUGAUAUUACAACGGCCACCAACGACAGGAAAAUGUUUUACCGACAGACAACAACCUACUGCAAGAUGUGAUGGUGUAACAAUAUGGCCUAGCCGUAUUGUUUUGCUCCAUGGGAAAAAAUGUACUACAGCCUUUCUUUGAACCAACACGACACAAGUGAUCAAGCAUUGGGCCGGGUUCACCUGAUAUCACUCACGGCGUAACAUGAGUAAUGUGUUAAUCCAACUUGGCCUAGUGACAAAUCGA